UACGUAGGGCGCAAGCGUUGUCCGGAAUUAUUGGGCGUAAAGAGCUCGUAGGCGGCCUGUUACGUCGGCUGUGAAAACCCGGGGCUCAACCCCGGGCCUGCAGUCGAUACGGGCAGACUAGAGUGCGGUAGGGGAGACUGGAAUUCCCGGUGUAGCGGUGAAAUGCGCAGAUAUCAGGAGGAACACCGGUGGCGAAGGCGGGUCUCUGGGCCGUAACUGACGCUGAGGAGCGAAAGCGUGGGGAGCGAACAGG
rnacentral:rRNA from 1 species